UACAAUUCAAAUAGUAAC
rnacentral:snRNA from 1 species